rnacentral:RNase_P_RNA from 2 species
AAAAGUAGAAGAGGUAGUUGCGGACUCCAUAUUUGGGGUCUGAGGAAAGUCCGGGCUCCCUAAAGACCAGGCUUGCUGGAUAACGCCCAGUGCGAGUGAUCGUGAGGAUAGUGCCACAGAAAAAUACCGCCCUGUUGAUCAGGGUAAGGGUGCAAAGGUGCGGUAAGAGCGCACCAGCAGUGUCGUGAGGCACUGGCUCGGUAAACCCCGGCUGGGAGCAAGGUUGGAGGGAUAAUGGUUGGUCUUUUUCCAGUUCCGUUGCGUUCAUAGAUUCAUCUAUGAUGCUAGGCAUACCGCAAGAGGUGUCUGGUAACAGACAUCCCAGAUAGAUAACUGCCCUCUUAGCUGGUUUCAGGUAAGAGAACAGAACCCGGCUUACUCCCUACUUUUUUCU